UGGGGAAUAUUGGGGCAAAUGGGGCGCAAGCCUGACCCAGCAAUGCCGCGUGAAGGAAGAAGGCUUUCGGGUUGUAAACUUCUUUUACCAGGGACGAAGAAAAUAGACGGUACCUGGAGAAUAAGCCACGGCUAACUACGUGCCAGCAGCCGCGGUAAUACGUAGGUGGCAAGCGUUGUCCGGAUUUACUGGGUGUAAAGGGCGCGUAGGCGGGGAAGCAAGUCAGAUGUGAAAUCUAUGGGCUUAACCCAUAAACUGCAUUUGAAACUGUUUCUCUUGAGUGUCGGAGAGGUAGAUGGAAUUCCUAGUGUAGCGGUGAAAUGCGUAGAUAUUAGGAGGAACACCAGUGGCGAAGGCGAUCUACUGGACGAUAACUGACGCUGAGGCGCGA
rnacentral:rRNA from 1 species